UACAGAGGUCCCGAGCGUUGUUCGGAUUCACUGGGCGUAAAGGGUGCGUAGGUGGUGAGGUAAGUCGGAUGUGAAAUCUCCGAGCUCAACUCGGAAAUGGCAUUGGAAACUACCUUGCUCGAGGGUUGGAGGGGGGACUGGAAUACUUGGUGUAGCAGUGAAAUGCGUAGAUAUCAAGUGGAACACCAGUGGCGAAGGCGAGUCCCUGGACAGUUCCUGACACUGAGGCACGAAGGCCAGGGGAGCAAACGGG
rnacentral:rRNA from 1 species